GGCUUUAUAUUCAAAAAAUGAUAUUAGACUGCAAUUCUAAAGGUGUAAGUUAAAAUACUAAGGCCU
rnacentral:tRNA from 1 species